AUCCUGGCAGAAAUCAGGGGAGGAGGAGCAUGGGACCCUGCAUCCCCCCCUCAAGUGUUGCCUCAGGAAGACACGGGGUCCGUCCUGGGGGCCCAGCCAGCUACGGAGGGUGGAGAGAGCCAGGCAGGGAGGGUCAGGAUGUAAGACAGAAAGUGUUUUUUCCCCCUUCUUGCCCUUCCAAAAAGAGCCAUAGCUGCAAAUCACUGGAGAUGGCUGACAAAGGCUGUAUCACGUCCCUCCCAGACCAGGUACAACGGGAGGUCAUUAGACCUCAGUGACCACCUACUCAGGUGGAAGCAUCUUGGAACUGUCGGUUAGCAGAAGCUAGGAAAACCAGUUUUAUCCUACUUGUCUGCUGGCGUUCGGAGAAUGGAAAAUUCCCAAUCAAGAUAAAAAGACUGAGGUGACAAAACAGGAGGUUUAAAAAGGACUCACAAUGGGGAAGACUCAGAGAGCCACAUGGAAAAUCUUUGGGCAGGAGAGGAAGAAACAGACAGUUUUUGUAGCAGGGGCGGGGCUGGUUUAGCUGAAGACCAACUGAAGUCAGAGGAAGCAAGCUGAUCUAGCAGGAGAGAGAGGCUCUGUGGCCCAGAAGUCAAGGCAUGAGCUGCAGCAGAGGGGUCCUGGACACACCCAGUGGACCCAGAUCACAGCCCAAAGAAUGCUCCAGAGUGGUGAGGAAAUUGAAGCAGGGAAACGUGUACAGUUUCUUACUAGUUUAAACUCUGCAGUUCUUGUGCUAUUAAAGAAAGAGCAAUGGGGUUUCGGAAUGCUGUGCAAAGUUUGUGCUACAUCUACCAUGUGCC